rfam:Bacillus sp. FJAT-22058 super1, whole genome shotgun sequence.
GGAUUCACAAAAGCGCCUGAACUAAGUCUGGACGAGAAAUGACUUAGUUGACGAGGAGGAGGUUUAUCGAAUGAUCGGCGGAUACCUCCCGGCUGAAGUGCACAGCCGCAGUAAUUCCAAUCUUAAAACAGUAGGGCAACUUACUGCACAAAGGGUCGGAAAUGCACAAUG